ACGCUCGACACCUACGGGAGGCGGCAGUCGGGAAUAUUGCGCAAUGGAGGAAACUCUGACGCAGUGACGCCGCGUAUAGGAAGAAGGUUUUCGGAUUGUAAACUAUUGUCGUUAGGGAAGAAAAAGGACAGUACCUAAGGAGGAAGCUCCGGUUAACUACGUGCUAGCAGCCGCGGUAAUCUGAGCGGGCUGGCAAGGC
rnacentral:rRNA from 1 species